CCUACGGGCGGCAGCAGUGAGGAAUAUUGGUCAAUGGGCGGAAGCCUGAACCAGCCAAGUAGCGUGCAGGAUGACGGCCCUACGGGUUGUAAACUGCUUUUAUACGGGAAUAACGCGCCUUACGUGUAGGGCUUUGCAUGUACCGUAUGAAUAGGGCCGGGUUAAUUCGGUGCAACCAGCCGCGGUAUUCCGGAAGGUCCGGUCGUUAGCGGGAUUUAGUGGGUUUAAGGGGGGCGGAGGCGGCAUGUCAAGCGUGCUGUGAAAUGUCCGGGCUCAACCCGGGCCUUGCAGCGCGAACUGGCGUGCUUGAGUCCGCGGAAAGCAGGCGGAAUUCGUCGGGUAGCGGUGAAAUGCUUAGAUAUGACGAAGAACCCCGAUUGCGAAGGCAGCUUGCUGCAGCGGAACUGACGCUGAUGCUCGAAAGCGCGGGUAUCGAACAGGAUUAGAUACCCCGGUAGUC
rnacentral:rRNA from 1 species